rnacentral:rRNA from 1 species
AUUGAACGCUGGCGGCAGGCCUAACACAUGCAAGUCGAACGCGUGGCAGGCGGGUGAGUAAUGUCGGGGAAUGUGCCCGAUAGGGGGGGAAAAAUUCGGAAAACGAUAGCAAACACCACAUAACCUCGUAUGUGCCUAUGUGGGAUUCGCUAGUAGGGGGGGUAACGGCUCACCGAGGCGACGAUCCCUAGCUGGUCUGAGAGGAUGACCAGCCACACUGGAACGGAGACACGGCCCAGACUCCUACGGGAGGCAGCAGUGGGGAAUAUUGCACAAUGGGCGCAAGCCUGAUGCAGCCAUGCCGCGUGUAUGAAGAAGGCCCUCGGGUUGUAAAGUACUUUCAGUGAGGAGGCGUUACUCGCAGAAGAAGCACCGGCUAACUCCGUGCCAGCAGCCGCGGUAAUUC